GCGGCGUUGCCGGCUCCAGCCGGACGCGCAGUCCUAUCUCCAUGGCGACGCGGCAGCGAGGGCUCCCGGCUCACAACACCCAGCUGACCACAAGCUGGACUAGCUUUGCGUGUCAACCCUUCCGAUGGUCGGCGUGAGAGGGCCGCAGGCGGGGAAGCGGCGCCGCAUCGACCGCGGUCGCCCUCUCGCCAUCCCCGCGAGCAGCCUGACCCAGCCCUCACCUCAGACUGCCCCAGGCCCGGCGCCUGCACCCGCAAACUUCUCCGCCCACUCCAGGUUCCGGCUCUGGCGCCCCACCGCAGCAGAGGCGGCGCGCGAGAAGGUGUUCCUUCCUGACUUUGUGCGUCAUCGUGUUUCCCUGGACUAGAGUUUGACAGACUCUUUCUGUGACGAGCCAGAAAAGUAAUGAUUGAACCAAAUGAAGCAAUGUCAGGGAAGGAAGUCUCUUCAAGAAAUAUUGAAAAUAAAUUCUCUUCAAAGAAUACUGAAAAUAGAGUAUCUUCAAAGAGUAUUGAAAAUAAAGAUAUAGGAACAAAUCUGCAGUCUAAGCUAUGGUCAUCUUCCUUUUUAAAAGAAAGCACAGGUGAAAUGAGCAAAAAUGUAAUUAUUGCAGAGCAGGAGAAAAGUAGUGAAUAUUGCCCUGAGGAUAUUGAUAAGUUGUCUGAAUCAACAGACGAUGAUGGUGAGGAUGAUACCAACGAUGAGGGUGAUGAGGAAGACAGCACCCCUAAUAAGCAUACUCAUGCCCCAUUAGAGUUAAUGACAGAGUUCCUGAGAGCAGAAAUGGGCCAAGACUACCAGUUGGCAAAAAAAUUAUGUCAGAUGAUCCUAAUCUAUGAACCAGAAAAUCCUGAGGCCAAGGAGUUUUUCUCACUUAUUGAAGAAAUGCUGCUGAUGGAGAAAGCUCAAAAUCUUGAGGAAGAUGAUGGGGAGAGUGAAGACGACAGUAGCAGUGAGAGUGAAGGGGAGAGCACUGAGGACCCAAGUGAAGAAAGCUCUGAUGAAUGUGAAGAUGGGUGAUGACAGUUGCUGCUAUAGUUUAAUCUUCGUUAUCAUGUCAUAUCCAGAAUCCUUGAAGCAUUAUUCAUACUUUGGGCAUUUUGUAGUGUGCUAACAUUCAGAGGAAGAGAUUCUGCUACAUCACUUUAUAGGAGUGUCUGAAAGAAGUGAAGACAGCAGAGAAUAUCCUACUGUAUGUAUCUGCCACAGCAUAGCAAACAUGACACCAAUACCAUCCUGUAAGACUGUAAGCCUAAGUGGACUCUAGGUUACCAUCAGGUCCCCAACGUGUCAUGGCCAUUCAGAGCCAAGGAAGAGGAACUGGCGGAUCCUUGUGCCAGUUACAGGUACAGGUCUCUAAAUGUAUCUUCACCUCAAAGAAAAAUUAUUCUGCAUGUCUUUCCAUGAAAAGGAUAACUUGAAAAUGAUCAUUCUGUAAAGAUGAUAAAUUUCACAGCUCCUUGUCUACCACUGGACAGUGUAUUAGGAGGAAAAUCUCUUGCCCAUGAUAACAGGCACCAAAUUCAGUUUUUUUCCUGUUGGCAUCUGAAGAGCACAGCCAAAGGUGAGGCAGAAUACUUAAAUCAGCAGACAACAUCAUCAUUCUGCAACCACCUUCCCUUAGCUCACAUCCCACCAAUGAAAGAAAAUAAGAGGAAAAAUAGUAAAAAUCCUAUGUACCAAAUGAAACUAAAUACUUUUGAGAAACCUAUCUCGAAACUGAAACUUGCUAAAUUGAGAUCUUUUGCCACCUGUUAAAGCAGUGGUUUGAAUAUUAAUGUAACUGGCUGCUCCUUAAUAGGCUAGUUGAGGUCACCUAGGUGGUUCUGACUUUGGGGAAUGUAUUUCUUGUCUACUUUUUCUUCUCACCUCCUCAUCUGCAUCCAGAUGAAGAAAAGAAAGUGAUACAGA